rnacentral:rRNA from 1 species
UCGGAAAAAGAGGAGUGGCGAACGGGUGAGUAACACGUGGGUAACCUGCCCAUCAGAAGGGGAUAACACUUGGAAACAGGUGCUAAUACCGUAUAACAAUCGAAACCGCAGGGUUUCGAUUUGAAAGGCGCUUUCGGGUGUCGCUGAUGGAUGGACCCGCGGUGCAUUAGCUAGUUGGUGAGGUAACGGCUCACCAAGGCGACGAUGCAUAGCCGACCUGAGAGGGUGAUCGGCCACAUUGGGACUGAGACACGGCCCAAACUCCUACGGGAGGCAGCAGUAGGGAAUCUUCGGCAAUGGACGAAAGUCUGACCGAGCAACGCCGCGUGAGUGAAAAGGUUUUCGGAUCGUAAAACUCUGUUGUUAGAGAAGAACAAGGAUGAGAGUAACUGUUCAUCCCUUGACGGUAUCUAACCAGAAAGCCACGGCUAACUACGUGCCAGCAGCCGCGGUAAUACGUAGGUGGCAAGCGUUGUCCGGAUUUAUUGGGCGUAAAGCGAGCGCAGGCGGUUUCUUAAGUCUGAUGUGAAAGCCCCCGGCUCAACCGGGGAGGGUCAUUGGAAACUGGGAGACUUGAGUGCAGAAGAGGAGAGUGGAAUUCCAUGUGUAGCGGUGAAAUGCGUAGAUAUAUGGAGGAACACCAGUGGCGAAGGCGGCUCUCUGGUCUGUAACUGACGCUGAGGCUCGAAAGCGUGGGGAGCAAACAGGAU